AGCGAACGCUGGCGGCAGGCUUAACACAUGCAAGUCGAACGCCCCGCAAGGGGAGUGGCAGACGGGUGAGUAACACGUGGGAACGUACCCUUUGGUUCGGAAUAACUUGGGGAAGCUCAAGCUAAUACCGCAUAUGCCCUUAUGGGGAAAGGUUUACUGCCGAAGGAUCGGCCCGCGGCUGAUGAGUUCGUUGGUGAGGUAAUGGCCCACCAAGGCGACGAUCAGUAGCUGGUCUGAGAGGAUGAUCAGCCACACUGGGACUGAGACACGGCCCAGACUCCUACGGGAGGCAGCAGUGGGGAAUAUUGGACAAUGGGGGCAACCCUGAUCCAGCCAUGCCGCGUGAGUGAUGAAGGCCUUAGGGUUGUAAAGCUCUUUUACCCGGGACGAUAAUGACGGUACCGGGAGAAUAAGCCCCGGCUAACUUCGUGCCAGCCGCCGCCGUAA
rnacentral:rRNA from 1 species